AAGACUAUAGACCUGCGGAGUACCUGCGGAGGGAUCAUUAUAGAGUGAGAUUUUUUUCAACUCAACCUCCCAUCCGAUGUUUAUAUCACUUAUUGUUGCUUUGGUAGGGAUCUCCCUACCAAUAGCCUUAACAAAUUCUUUAAUUAUGAUGUCUAAGUUAUAACUAAAAAUUAUACAAAACUUUUAACAAUGGAUCUCU
rnacentral:misc_RNA from 1 species